ACUCCUACGGGAGGCAGCAGUGGGGAAUAUUGGACAAUGGGGGAAACCCUGAUCCAGCAAUGCCGCGUGUGUGAAGAAGGCCUGAGGGUUGUAAAAGCACUUUCAGUUGGGAGGAGGAUAUGCAGUUAAGAGCCAGCAUAUUGGACGUUUACCGACAGAAGAAGCACCGGCUAACUCCGUGCCAGCAGCCGCGGUAAUACGGAGGGUGCAAGCGUUAAUCGGAAUUACUGGGCGUAAAGGGUGCGUAGGUGGUUGAUUAAGUUAGGUGUGAAAUUCCUGGGCUUAACCUGGGCUGGAAACUUAAAAAUCUGGUCGACUUGAGUAUGGGAGAGGGUA
rnacentral:rRNA from 1 species